rnacentral:rRNA from 1 species
ACGGCUCAGUAACACGUAGUCAACCUAACCUAUGGACGGGAAUAACCUCGGGAAACUGAGAAUAAUGCCCGAUAGAACACUAUACCUGGAAUGGUUUGUGUUCCAAAUGAUUUAUCGCCAUAGGAUGGGACUGCGGCCUAUCAGUUUGUUGGUGAGGUAAUGGCCCACCAAGACUAUUACAGGUACGGGCUCUGAGAGGAGUAGCCCGGAGAUGGGUACUGAGACACGGGCCCAGGCCCUAUGGGGCGCAGCAGGCGAGAAAACUUUGCAAUGUGCGAAAGCACGACAAGGUUAAUCCGAGUGAUUUGUGCUAAACGAAUCUUUUGUUAGUCCUAGAAACACUAACGAAUAAGGGGUGGGCAAGUUCUGGUGUCAGCCGCCGCGGUAAAACCAGCACCUCAAGUGGUCAGGAUGAUUAUUGGGCCUAAAGCAUCCGUAGCCGGCUCUGUAAGUUUUCGGUUAAAUCUGUACGCUUAACGUACAGGCUGCCGGGAAUACUGCAGAGCUAGGGAGUGGGAGAGAUAGACGGUACUCGGUAGGAAGUGGUAAAAUGCCUUGAUCUAUCGAUGACCACCUGUGGCGAAGGCGGUCUACCAGAACACGUCCGACGGUGAGGGAUGAAAGCUGGGGGAGCAAACCGGAUUAGAUACCCGGGUAGUCCCAGCUGUAAACUAUGCAAACUCAGUGAUGCAUUGGCUUGUGGCCAAUGCAGUGCUGCAGGGAAGCCGUUAAGUUUGCCGCCUGGGAAGUACGUACGCAAGUAUGAAACUUAAAGGAAUUGGCGGGGGAGCAC